rnacentral:sRNA from 2 species
UUAAUUAAGAGGUAGGUGAGGCUACUGAUAGGAUAUGGGUUACCACCGCGUAUCGAUGGAGACAUUGAGAGUUGGUUAACAGUUUGGAUCGACGAUAAGGUUUAGACUAGUGUAAUUUCACCGCCUAUCAAAGCUAAAGCUUGAACGAUUGAUAGCUCA